CCUACGGGAGGCAGCAGUGGGGAAUUUUGGACAAUGGGCGCAAGCCUGAUCCAGCAAUGCCGCGUGAGUGAAGAAGGCCUUCGGGUUGUAAAGCUCUUUUGUCAGGGAAGAAACGGUGGAGGUUAAUACCUUCUGCUAAUGACGGUACCUGAAGAAUAAGCACCGGCUAACUACGUGCCAGCAGCCGCGGUAAUACGUAGGGUGCAAGCGUUAAUCGGAAUUACUGGGCGUAAAGCGUGCGCAGGCGGUUGUGCAAGACAGAUGUGAAAUCCCCGGGCUCAACCUGGGAAUUGCAUUUGUGACUGUACGGCUAGAGUGUGUCAGAGGGGGGUAGAAUUCCACGUGUAGCAGUGAAAUGCGUAGAGAUGUGGAGGAAUACCGAUGGCGAAGGCAGCCCCCUGGGAUAACACUGACGCUCAUGCACGAAAGCGUGGGGAGCAAACAGGAUUAGAUACCCUGGUAGUCCACGCCCUAAACGAUGUCUACUAGUUGUCGGGUCUUUAUUGACUUGGUAACGCAGCUAACGCGUGAAGUAGACCGCCUGGGGAGUACGGUCGCAAGNUUAAAACUCAAAGGAUUGACGG
rnacentral:rRNA from 1 species